rnacentral:rRNA from 1 species
CAAUAGCGUAUAUUAAAGUUGUUGCGGUUAAAAAGCUCGUAGUUGGAUUUCUGCCGAGGACGACCGGUCCGCCCUCCGGGUGAGUAUCUGGCUCGGCCUGGGCAUCUUCUUGGAGAACGUAACUGCACUUGGCUGUGUGGUGCGGUAUUCAGGACUUUUACUUUGAGGAAAUUAGAGUGUUUCAAGCAGGCACACGCCUUGAAUACAUUAGCAUGGAAUAAUAAGAUAGGACCUCGGUUCUAUUUUGUUGGUUUCUAGAUCUGAGGUAAUGAUUAAUAGGGAUAGUUGGGGGCAUUCGUAUUUAACUGUCAGAGGUGAAAUUCUUGGAUUUGAUAAAGACGGACUACUGCGAAAGCAUUUGCCAAGGAUGUUNUCAUUNA